rnacentral:tmRNA from 1 species
GGGGGUGUUCUGGAUUCGACCCUUGGUUGGAGCGCGCCGUUGCCUGUCGAGGGUGAAGGACCCUCGAUAAUCUCCCUUCACACCAAUAAACGGCAUCUACGAAGAAAUGCCCCUGGCCGCCUAAGUGCGGCCUCGUUCGCCCAGUGACACCUGCUAGCUGAAGCGAACGUCGACAGCAGGCAUAGCCCGCGCGGCUGUCUCCAACGCGCGGGUCGUACCUUCAAAUUGGGGGCUGGCCCGGAUCGAGCGCGUGCUGCGGCAUGAUGCGGGUGAGAUCAAAGCAGCGCUACACAGGUAGACGCGGUUCGUGAAGGUCAGGGGGACCGGGGUUCAAAUCCCCGCACCUCCACCA